CAAAUAUUACCUCUGUCCCGAAUUAGUUGUCUUACAUUUGUCCAGAUAUGGAUAUGUCUAGACACGUCUUAGUGUUAAGUACAUCCGUAUCUAGACAAAUCUAAGACAAGUAAUUUGGGACUGAAGAGUAUGAA
rnacentral:pre_miRNA from 1 species